rnacentral:rRNA from 1 species
UACAGAGGUCUCAAGCGUUGUUCGGAUUCAUUGGGCGUAAAGGGUGCGUAGGCGGCGCGGUAAGUCGGGUGUGAAAUCUCGGGGCUUAACUCCGAAACUGCAUUCGAUACUGCCGUGCUUGAGGACUGGAGAGGAGACUGGAAUUUACGGUGUAGCGGUGAAAUGCGUAGAUAUCGUAAGGAAGACCAGUGGCGAAAGGCGGUUCUCUGGGCCGUU